rnacentral:tRNA from 1 species
GUGGGUAUAGCACAGUGGUAGAGCACAUGCUUAGCAUGCACAAGGUCCAGGGUUCAAUCCCCAGUACCUCA